GUAAGGGUUAGCUCAGUGGUAGAGCUCUUGCCUAGCAUGUGGCCAGCCCUGGGUUCAAUCCCCAGCACUACA
rnacentral:tRNA from 1 species